ensembl:lncRNA
GGGGGGGGGUUACGGGGGCGGACUGGAGCACACCCCUUCGCUGGCUCUCAUGAUGUCAGCCGCUGAGAACCGGAUCAGCGUAUGAUCUGGAGCAGGGGAGUUGGAUUUCCUCUGCCAACCCCUGCAUUGUUACUCAGCUCCAGCUUCCUGGGCUAACGUGUAAAUAAAGAGAGCUUUGCCUUUCUUUUGCUUUGCUGCUGGGAAGCGCUAGCCUCAAAUAUCUUUCCCCUUUUUCAGCGGUGGGUGGUGUGCUGUAGGGCUUCAGGGGGCAUACACCAAUCCCCCCCCCCCCCCCUUGUGUGAAUAUGGCAUCAUAAAGGAUCCCAGCUCCCAUGAGUCAGAGUCUCGUGAUGCAUCACACAAAACCACAGCAACACCCAGAGCUAUUCAAGUGUCAGCUUAAAACAAACCCUGACUGAGGGGAACCAUAGUCGCCAGUCACACAGCAGCACUUCCUGUUCAACUUAAACACGCAAGGCUGUGUAGGCUCACUCACCAGAAGAGGAACUUUCUUUUGAGAGGCAAGAGUGUUUCUCCAUGCUCUGGGUUGCCCGUGUGAUGAGUGAGUGAGUGAGUGUGUGAGUGUGUGUGUGGCUGAGGCCAGUGGGAGGAGGGGUGACCCAUGCUUCUGCCAGAGGAGUUCAGGCGAGCAGCUCCCCCUCAUGACUCAUCACCUGCUCUCGAAACUCCUCCAGACCAUCACUGAUCCAUCACUGAACGCCCCAGUGCAACCAGUUCUGCCGCUUCGCCUGGGCCAGCGUUUCUCAAAGUGUGGGGCGCCCCACUGGUGGGGCGCAGAGACGUGACAGGUGGGGCGGGAAUGGACGCCAUGAACGGGAGAUUUUUUUUUUUUUACCCCUGAUUUAUGGCAUGCUUUCCUGUAGACAAUAUAUUUUGAUUGACGUCGGCGUAUUAAUUGCAGCGGGACAAUUCAAAAAAAAAAAAACUUCAGUUUAGUUUAGUUAGGGCUGUGUACUAUUCUCGCUACGUGUUUUACCCGUCCAGUGUGUUGACAGUCAGUUCAACAGUCAGCCAAACUUGACGAGCCAGGUAGCAAGCGUCUUGCUCCUUUAUUGAUGUCAGGCGAAAACUUAUGUAUGAAACAAUAAUACACAAGAAACGGAAAAUACUAAGAAGGUAUCUUAACUAAACACAGCAAGUUACUAUUAGAUUAAUUACACCAAGAAUCAGAGCAACAACAGAUUACAGCACAGCUGGCUAAAAAGUG